GACGAACGCUGGCGGCGUGCUUAACACAUGCAAGUCGAACGGAAAGGCCCCGCUCUUGUGGGGUUCUUGAGUGGCGAACGGGUGAGUAACACGCGAGUAUCCUGCCCUUGACUUUGGGAUAACUUCAGGAAACUGGGGCUAAUACCGGAUAGGAGCUCCUGCUGCAUGUUGUUGGUUGGAAAGUGUCGGCGGUGGGGGAUGGACUCGCGGCUUAUCAGCUUGUUGGUGUGGUAGUGGCUUACCAAGGCUGUGACGGGUAGCCGGCAUGAGAGAGUGACCGGCCACAUGGGGACUGAGAUACGGACCAGACUCGUACGGGAGGCAGCAGUGGGGAAUAUUGCACAAUGGGCGGAAGCCUGAUGCAGCAACGCCGCGUGCGGGAUGACGGCCUUCGGGUUGUAAACCGCUUUCGCCUGUGACGAAGCGUGAGUGACGGUAAUGGGUAAAGAAGCACCGGCUAACUACGUG
rnacentral:rRNA from 1 species